AUGACAGGAUCCAGAGUCCAUUCAUGGGCUUUGUCGAUCGCGGGAGACGUGCCACCACCUUUGCAAAUACCACAACCGUCACGAGAGGUGCACAAACAUCCAAAUGCACAUGAUCAGGUUAAUGUAUCUAUACCACCAUUUAAUGGCCGUUUUAAACCUGCUUUAUAUAUUGAAUGGGAGUUCGACAUAAAAAAUAUAUUUGCUUCCCAUAAUUUCGAUGAACAUAAAAAGGUUAAGGUUGCGGUUGGUUCUUUCACUGGUUAUGCUUUGGUUUGGUGGAGUGAAUAUUGUCGGUUACACCCUGAUUAUAUUCCUACUACUUGGGAUGAUUUGAAACUUGCCAUGCGACAUACUUUCGUCCCUGCUUAUUAUACUCGUGACAUGAUUAAGAAGUUGCAACACUUAAAACAAGGUAGUGAAACUGUAACAAAAUAUUAUGAUGAUUUACAAACUACCUUGUUGCAUUCCUCUUUAAAAGAAAGUGAAGAUGAUUUUAUGGAUAGAUUUUGGGGAGGAUUAAACCGUGAUAUUCAAGAGAUACUAAUUCAUGAAGAGUGUUAUCCUAUGGACCAUUUAUUUCAUCUUGCUUGCAAAGCUGAACAGGAAAUAAAACGACGUGUUGGCCACGAGGAGAACAAGCGCACGGUGCACAUUCCAAGAGUUGAUAUGAUUGUUCCUUCAACUACUAGGCAUACUAUGACAACCACAUCCGUUGUUGUCAGGACUACAUCACCUCCACCAUGUGACACAUCGCCUCCGAGAGUGGCUACAUCAUCUGAGUUGAUCAUAAGAGGUAAUGACAAAGGUACUGAUCUUCCAUCUCUACAUGAGAAUGAUGAAUGCCUUGUCAAUUUGAAUGCACCAUCUGAUGAGCUACCCACUACUUUGAUCACACCACCUAUUUUAGAGGACUACGUUGAUAAUUUAACUUUGCCAUGUGAUCAAACAACUGAAAUACCAACAAUUUUGAAUGCACCCAUUGAAUUAACUAUUGAUGCAAAAGAACCAAUGUUUAAUCAUUUUGAUAUGACCUCUAAUCUUGGUGAUGAUUCUGUGUUGAAUGACUUAUUGCAUGUUUGCUUAUUUAAGCAUGUUGUAGCAUGUAAAUUUGAUGCAAGUAAGGUUUAUUCACCAAUGUUGGGAUGGUUUAAUGAUGAACAUUGUCAAUCUUUUGAAAUGAAUAAGAGCUUCACUUAUAUGUGCAAACUGAGUUGCAAUAUUUUCAUGCCUUCUACUUCUUGUGCUAAUUUUUUGGAUUUAGAUUUUAUGAACUAUGCAAGUUACUCAUCUAUUCAUGUUUCAUAUAUGCAAAAAUCAAGGGAAGUAAAAAUGGAUGACAUAUACAUAUACAAUAUGUACACCUUGUCUCUUUUGUUAGCCACAUUUCAGAUUAAGCAACGCCGAGGACGGCUUUAUUUUCAAGAAGGGGAGGAUGAUGAGGACAUGACUACCUUGGAUAUGACCAAAAAUAUUGCAUAUAUGCAUAUUUGUCAGGUGAUUUCUAGUGCAAACUAUUCAAUAAUCUAUUUAUGUUAUCCAGAACAAAAAUACUUCACACACUUUUGUGUUUUGUCUAAUUGCAGGUGUAUGGGACAUUUGUACAAUCCACAUAUGAAGAUAAGGAAGAAAGAGAUGUUUAUUUGCUGUCCAAAAAGUUCUCUCACGUCACUUUUGGCCCAAGAGAAGAUAGAGUCCAAGUCUCUCACGUUCUGGAUUCAGAUUCGGACUGCACAGACAUACCUGACUCAAAACGCACACAAGUUUUUCAUACGGACUCCGAAUUGGGUGAUUCUUUUUUUGUUGGAAACUAGAUUUCGUGCACUUUCCAACCCAAUUGGAAUCACCUUCAAAUUCUUCCGGAGCGUUGAGUUGUGA
rnacentral:rRNA from 1 species